rnacentral:rRNA from 1 species
AUUGAACGCUGGCGGCAGGCUUAACACAUGCAAGUCGAGCGAGCGGCGGACGGGUGAGUAAUGUCGGGGAAACUGCCUGAUGGAGGGGGAUAACUACGGGAAACGGGAGCUAAUACCGCAUACCAUCAGAUGUGCCGAGAUGGGAUUAGCUAGUAGGUGGGGUAAGGGCUCACCUAGGCGACGAUCCCUAGCUGGUCUGAGGGGAUGACCAGCCACACUGGAACUGAGACACGGUCCAGACUCCUACGUGAGGCAGCAGUGGGGAAUAUUGCACAAUGGGCGCAAGCCUGAUACAGCCAUGCCGCGUGUGUGAAGAAGGCCUUCGGGUUGUAAAGCACUUUCAGCGUGGAGGCGUUACUCGCAGAAGAAGCACCGGCUAACUCCGUGCCAGCAGCCGCGGUAAUAC